rnacentral:rRNA from 1 species
CAAUAAGCGGAGGAAAAGAAACCAACAGGGAUUGCCUCAGUAACGGCGAGUGAAGCGGCAAGAGCUCAAAUUUGAAAUCUGGCUCCUUCGGGGUCCGAGUUGUAAUUUGUAGAGGAUGCUUCGGGUGCGGCCCCCGUCUAAGUGCUCUGGAACGGGCCAUCGGAGAGGGUGAAAAUCCCGUCUGGGACGGGGUGUCCGCGUCCAUGUGAAGCUCCUUCGACGAGUCGAGUUGUUUGGGAAUGCAGCUCUAAAUGGGUGGUAAAUUUCAUCUAAAGCUAAAUACUGGCCGGAGACCGAUAGCGCACAAGUAGAGUGAUCGAAAGAUGAAAAGCACUUUGAAAAGAGAGUUAAACAGCACGUGAAAUUGUUGAAAGGGAAGCGCUUGCGACCAGACUCGCUUCCGGGGUUCAGCCGGCUUUCGGGCCGGUGUACUUCCCCGGGGGCGGGCCAGCGUCGGUUUGGGCGGCCGGUCAAAGGCCCCUGGAAUGUAACGCCCCUCGGGGGCGCCUUAUAGCCAGGGGGUGUCAUGCGGCCAGCCCUGGACCGAGGAACGCGCUUCGGCACGGACGCUGGCAUAAUGGUCGUAAACGACCCGUCUUGAAACACGGACCCAAGGAGANUCACUAGGUGCGGCCC